CACACACACACACAUUCCUAAGUAUACAUGCUACCAAACAGGAAGCCUGGCUCAUUGUGAGGCCUCACUCUUUAUUCAAGGAGCAGUCUUGGGUGUCUGAAUGGAUGCUUGAAGACUCCGUCUUUGCAAUUAACACACUGCUGCAGUAUUAUUAGCCUCUGAUAGGCAGGUCUGCCUUCGCCAGAGACUAUAAAUACGUGGGGCCAAUGACUCAGCAAAUCUGUUGCUAUUUUUCUUGCAGGUCCGUGUGGAUCUGUGUCUGUGUACACCAUGGCCCCAUCUCCCUGCAGCUCCCAUGGCUAGUAACCAUGGAAACACAGUCCUCCCCAAUACCAUACUCUGCUGACAAACACUGGGAGUCCCCCCAGCCCGCUUCCCACCUCAGGGAAGUAGCAUGGACCUCACCAGUUCCCAGUAAGCAAGGGAUGGUGGGAUGAAGAAGGUGAACAUUUGCUCUAGGGCUUUGAAGGCCCAGGCCAGGCCUCUAAGCCCUUCCAUUGCCAAUCUAUGGUCAAGGCCUUGUUACUUGCCUAAGAGCCAAAAAGAGAGCUGAACUAGAUGGUAUAUCAAGGCAUUUUCUGUCCUCAGUUUCUCUAUGUUCAAAACAGGAAGAAGCAGCUUUUAACAGAUGGGAAGAUGCAGGCAUGCCAUUCUAGAUGUCUGGUUCAGUGAGACAGAGGCUUCAGCCUGAAUCCUGCUGUGCCCAUGUAGAACAACUUCUACAUGUGGAAUACAUUGCAGUCAUGUUAAAUGCCAUACACAUGCAUACAAGGCCCUUGAUGCUACCCUGCCAACCUAUUAUUUUCCCCACUGUGCAGAUGCAUGAAGUGCAGACUAAAGUUUUGCUGGCUCCACAAAAUGUCUUAGAAAGGUGUUCCCCUUUUCUAGGAUACAAAAGAUUUAAACACAAAUUUAUUCCUUCCUUUCUUUCCUUCUCCACCCCUUCCUCCUCCUCUUUCUUUUUGUAAAUUAAAAUUGACCAGAUAAAGCAGGA
rnacentral:sRNA from 1 species